rnacentral:rRNA from 1 species
UGGGGAAUAUUGGACAAUGGGGGCAACCCUGAUCCAGCGAUGCCGCGUGUGCGAAGAAGGCCUGCGGGUUGUAAAGCACUUUAGGUGGGGAAGAAAGGUUUGGCGUUAAUAGCGCUGGAUUUUGACGUUACCCACAGAAUAAGCACCGGCUAACUCUGUGCCAGCAGCCGCGGUAAUACAGAGGGUGCGAGCGUUAAUCGGAAUGACUGGGCGUAAAGGGCGCGUAGGCGGUUAAUUAAGAUAGCUGUGAAAGACCAAAGCUCAACUUUGGAAGUGCAGUUAAGACUGGUUGACUAGAGUAGAGGAGAGGAGAGUGGAAUUUCCGGAGUAGCGGUGAAAUGCGUAGAUAUCGGAAAGAACAUUCGUGGCGAAGGCGGCUCUCUGGUCUCAUACUGACGCUGAGGCGCGAAAGCGUGGGGAGCAAACAG